rnacentral:rRNA from 1 species
AAGAAGGUGGAACAUGUGGUUUAAUUUGAAGCAACGCGAAGAACCUUACCAGGUCUUGACAUCCCCUGACACCCCGAGAGAUCGGGCGUUCCCCUUCGGGGGACAGGGUGACAGGUGGUGCAUGGUUGUCGUCAGCUUGUGUCGUGAGAUGUUGGGUUAAGUCCCGCAACGAGCGCAACCCUUGACCUUAGUUGCCAGCAUUGAGUUGGGCACUCUAAGGUGACUGCCGAUGACAAAUCGGAGGAAGGUGGGGAUGACGUCAAAUCAUCAUGCCCCUUAUGACCUGGGCUACACACGUGCUACAAUGGGCGGUACAAAGGGUUGCGAACCCGCGAGGGGGAGCCAAUCCCAAAAAGCCGCUCUCAGUUCGGAUUGCAGGCUGCAACUCGCCUGCAUGAAGCCGGAAUCGCUAGUAAUCGCGGAUCAGCAUGCCGCGGUGAAUACGUUCCCGGGCCUUGUACACACCGCCCGUCACACCACGAGAGUUUGCAACACCCGAAGUCGGUGGGGUAACCCUUACGGGAGCCAGCCGCCGAAGGUGGGGCAGAUGAUUGGGGUGAAGUCGUAACAAGGUAGCCGUAU